CNAGUACUCCCUCCGUCCCAAAAUUCUUGUCUUAGAUUUGUCUAGAUACGGAUGUAUCAAGUCACAUUUUAGUAUUAGAUACAUCCGUAUCUAGACAAAUCUAAGACAAGAAAUUUGGGACAGAGGGAGUAGUUG
rfam:Triticum aestivum genome assembly, contig: Triticum_aestivum_CS42_TGACv1_scaffold_572983_7AS